rnacentral:rRNA from 1 species
AGUGAACGCUGGCGGUAGGCCUAACACAUGCCAGUCGAACGGCAGCACAGUAAGAGCUUGCUCUUACGGGUGGCGAGUGGCGGACGGGUGAGGAAUACAUCGGAAUCUACUUUUUCGUGGGGGAUAACGUAGGGAAACUUACGCUAAUACCGCAUACGACCUACGGGUGAAAGCAGGGGAUCUUCGGACCUUGCGCGAUUGAAUGAGCCGAUGUCGGAUUAGCUAGUUGGCGGGGUAAAGGCCCACCAAGGCGACGAUCCGUAGCUGGUCUGAGAGGAUGGAUCGGCCAAACUGGACUGGGGACAGGGUCCGGACUCUAAGGGGAGGCGGAAGUGGGAAUAUUUGGACAAUGGGGGAAAGCUUGUUCCAGCCAAACGGGGUGGUUGAAGAAGGCCUCCGGGUGGUAAAGCCCUUUGUUGGGAAAGAGAAGCAGCAGGUUAAUACCCCGCUGUUCUGACGGUACCCAAAGAAUAAGCACCGGCUAACUUCGUG